UGGGGAAUAUUGCACAAUGGGCGCAAGCCUGAUGCAGCCAUGCCGCGUGUAUGAAGAAGGCCUUCGGGUUGUAAAGUACUUUCAGCGGGGAGGAAGGCGAUAAGGUUAUUAACCUUGUCGAUUGACGUUACCCGCAGAAGAAGCACCGGCUAACUCCGUGCCAGCAGCCGCGGUAAUACGGAGGGUGCAAGCGUUAAUCGGAAUUACUGGGCGUAAAGCGCACGCAGGCGGUCUGUCAAGUCGGAUGUGAAAUCCCCGGGCUCAACCUGGGAACUGCAUUCGAAACUGGCAGGCUAGAGUCUUGUAGAGGGGGGUAGAAUUCCAGGUGUAGCGGUGAAAUGCGUAGAGAUCUGGAGGAAUACCGGUGGCGAAGGCGGCCCCCUGGACAAAGACUGACGCUCAGGUGCGAAAGCGUGGGGAGCAAACA
rnacentral:rRNA from 1 species